AGAAGACGCGAGGCGGGCUGCGCGCUCUGCCAGGCGAAGGCUGGAGCGCAGACGGCAAAGCCGCGCGUUUCAGCCGCGGUCGGGUCCGCAGGACCUGGGCGUGGGGACACCACCAGGCAGGAGCAGAGGCAGGACUGGGACGCCAAAAGCUGAGAAUCCUCGAUGCCCGCGCGAGAGCCCCGUGUUAUGGCGAGUUCUGGAGGCUGGGAAGUUCAAGACCAAUGCACUAGAAUUUGGUCUAAAGAGAAUCUUCUUGCUCUGAACACACAUAGUAGAAGGCAGAAGGGCAAGAGAGAGAACAAAGUCUGUGUCUCCACAUGGCAGAAGAGCAGAAGAGACAGAACCUACUCCUCUAUGGCAACCACCCCAUCAAUGACAAAAAUCCUAGAAAGAUGUAUGUAUAGUAAGUUGAAGUGUUGAGAAGAGAAUGGCUCAGAGUCAAGCAGGAACAAGUUCUAUAUCUGGAUAAAGUGCGAAGGAGCUUAAAUCUGUUGAAACCCAAAAUUUGCCUCCAUUUAAUGGCUUAGCUCCAGAAGCUAAGCAGUCCAAGAUCAAAGUGCCCACAGAUGCAGUGUCUGGUGACAACACUUUUCCUGGCUGAAGUUAGUAUGGCAUCAAGUUAGCAUAUUUCUUUCUACAGACUGAAGAACCUUUAGAGGAAGCUGAACAAACCCCCUAGAGGGAUACAGACAGCCUGAACCAAUCCCACAUGGAGAAAUCCAAGCAGGCAAAGCACAGAGUUCUACCAAGGAGAUAAGACACCGUGAAGAUCAAAAUAAAAAUUUUGUAUUUGCAACAAAUGUGUAUUCUGCAAGUGAAAUUGAACCUGUCUUCUGAAAGUUAAAAAAUUAAGAUAUUUCAUCUUUGUACAAAAAUAUAUAAAUAUAAGGCAGGAUAGAAGGAGAAUAUAGGGGAAAGACACAUGCAGCUACCUAUCUUUGUCAUCUGAGCAUAAGUGAAGGAUAAAAUGUUACAAAUACAAAUAAUUUAUCACAAAUAUGCUUUGGAAUGUUUUCAGUGUAUCAGGAUUGAUAUUAACCUGCACAAGAAUGCCUAAAAGCAAGAUUGGGAAUGAAAAAUUGGCAAGACAUUAUAAUGAAACACCAGUUUCCUUUGUUCAAGUUGCCUGGAGCCCUUUAUCCAUCUUCUGGCCUUACCUCCUCACUGUAUUUCUAGAAAAUGAUUGCUCCAUGAUGAGCUUCCUAUAUUCAACUAUGUGCAAUAACUGAAAAUAAAAGAAUUGUGGAAAAUUUCUAAAAAUGUUGCACAGAAAAUAGGAAAAAGGAAAAUAAUAACAAGAAUAAGAAAUCACAGAAAUAUUACCAAAUCAGAAAAGUGACACUCUAAAGGACUCUAAAAGGUAAACAUUAUGAUAAAAAAUAUUUCCCAUGAAAUCUAAGAAUAUAGUUACAAUAUGGCCUCUGGAUUUACAGGCUUCAAAAAAGAUCUACAGUGGCUUAAGAAAGAAAUUACACAAAACUAGUAAGAUCAAUUUUGAGCUUUCAAGCCUUAGAAAAUAAAUUCAAGGAAAACCAAAAGUUAUUAGGAAAAUGAAAGCAUAUUGUUAAUUUAAGAGGAAGAGUGGAAAUAAGAGCAUAGAAGAGUAA